rnacentral:rRNA from 1 species
AAUUUUGUCUUACUUUUAUUUUUUUAAUUUUAUGAGAAAUAUCUUUGUAUUUAGUAUAUAAAGGAAAUAUUUAUUUUUGUUAUAGUGUAUUAGUACUGUUAAGGAAUUGAUGAAAUAAUUUAAAAUUAAAUUUUUUAUAAGUAUGUUUAACUUGCAGUACCUUUUGUAUCAGGGUUAAUUAAAUAAAUUAAUUUAUAUUUACAUCUCGAUUUCAGAAGAGCUAAAUUGUUAUUUUAGUUAAUGUAUCAUAAUUAUUUAUAAUAUAUUUUAGGAGAGAAAUUUUAUUCGUUUUUGAGGGUAUCUAGUUUUUUAAGAAUUAAAUUUAAUUUAUUUUUAUUAUUUAACUGUUGUAUUAUUACUUAGGUUAUUUAUUAAAGGAAAAAUUAUAGGGGAUAAGCUCUAUAUUUUUCUAUAAAAAUUUUUAUUAAUAAAUUUUGGUAGGUUUAAAAUUAUCCAUCCUUAGUGAGUUUGUUAUAAAUUAUAUUUUCAAUUAAUUAAUUUUGUUGUUUUUAGUAUAUUAUUAAAAUACCAUAACUAAUUAAAUAUUUUGGGUAAUAAUGAUUAAAUUAGUAUAAAAAUAUGUUUAUUAUUUUAUGAUUUAUAUGAUAAAAUAAGGAAUUCGGCAAAUUUAGUUCUCGCCUGUUUAWCAAAAACAUGUCCUUUUGAAUUUAAUUGAAGGUCUGACCUGCCCAGUGAUGAAUUUAACGGCCGCGGUAUAUUGACCGUGCAAAGGUAGCAUAAUCAUUAGUCUUUUAAUAGAGGGCUGGAAUGAAUGGUUUAACGAGGAACUGACUGUCUCAUUUUAUUUGUUUUAAAAUUUAAUUUUUUAGUCAAAAAGCUAAAAUUUUAUUGGAAGACGAGAAGACCCUAUAGAUCUUUAUAUAAGUUCUUGUAAUCAUUUCUAUAUUAAUAUGUUUAUAUUAAUUUAUAUUUUGUUGGGGUGACAAAAAUAUAUAAUUAACUUUUUUAUUUAUUUACCAUUGAUAUAUGAAUAUUUGAUCCAUUAUUAGUGAUUAUUAGAUUAAGUUACCUUAGGGAUAACAGCGUAAUCCUCCUCCAGAGUUCAUAUUUACAGGAAGGGCUUGCGACCUCGAUGUUGGAUUAAGAUAAUAAUUAGGUGUAGCCGCUUAAUUUAUAGGUCUGUUCGACCUUUAAAUUCUUACAU